CUGGGACUGAGGAAAAAAAGCCAAUCUUCUCUAUCAUACCUCUCUUUGUCUUCCAUGGCUAAGUCCUUAUGAUGUCAGUUCUGAUGGUGAGGAAGUGGUGCAUUGUGAAGAUAUCACACCAUUUCCUCCUACUGAAGGUGGGGGGCAGCCAUCCUUGGGACUUGACUAACUUGGACGGGCAGCAUCAUCCCUCCUAUCAUUCAUUCCCUGUUGAAAGGAACAAGGAUGGAGAAUUUUGGCUGUGGCUGGCUGCCAUGUGCUGACAAGACAGACAGUAUCACAACAGCUGGAAUCUAACUGUGAGCCUCAAAAUUAAAAUAAAAUCCAUUGAUAUUUAAGAGGAAAAGAGACAGUUUCAGGGGGUAGGGUCAGAAAAAAACAUUUGCAAGAGCUCUCGUGUUAGCCUAAAUCC
rnacentral:lncRNA from 1 species